rnacentral:rRNA from 1 species
GACGAACGCUGGCGGCGUGCUUAACACAUGCAAGUCGAACGGGAUUUCGUAGACAGUAGCCUCGGCUCAAGAUUACUAAUGAGAGUGGCGAACGGGUGAGUAACGCGUGAGCAACCUGCCUAUGACAGUGGGAUAGCCUCGGGAAACCGGGAUUAAUACUGCAUAACAUCGUAGAAACACAUGUUUUAACGGUCAAAGAUUUAUCGGUCAUAGAUGGGCUCGCGUCUGAUUAGCUAGUUGGAGAGAUAACAGCCCACCAAGGCGACGAUCAGUAGCCGGUCUGAGAGGAUGAACGGCCAGAUUGGGACUGAGACAAGGUCCAAACUCCUACGGGAGGCAGCAGUGGGGAAUAAUGCACAAUGGGUGAGACCCUGAGGCAGCGACGCCGCGAGAACGAAGAAGGUAUUCGUAUCGUAAAGUUCUGUCCGAGGGGAAGAUAAUGACAGAACCAUAGAAGAAAGCUCCGGCUAAAUACGU